AGGGAGAUUCUCUGACCCUCCGCUGUUUAUUUCGCUCCACAAAGCCCUCAAACCUCACAGCUGAUUUCUAUAAAGAUGGAUCACUGCUCCAGACCCAGACGACAGGAGAGAUGAUCAUCCGUACUGUCUCAAAGUCAGAUGAAGGUCUCUACCACUCUAAACACCCAGAGAGAGGAGAGUCACCACAGAGCUGGCUCUCAGUCAGAGGUUCAGGAGCUCCAGUCUCAGCACUCAGUCUGCUCAGUAGUUUAAUGGCAGUGUCUCCAUAUUUGCUGGUGACCAUCGUGCUGGGGGUCAAAUGCUACAGAGCUCGAGCUAAACCUGAUGAGCAGAGCAGAACAUAAGCAAUGAUGGAAGCUGAAACAUCUUGAGUGCUGAAUGCCAGGAACUCCUGGUUUGGGUUUUAAGGAGUGAAGACAGAAAAGGACCUGAAUACAUUUAGACUGUCAGAAUUAUUUUUAGAAGAAGAAAAAAAUCUCUCAUGCAUUAAAAUGUAAACCCUCUGUCUCUUUUUAUGGUCCUUCAUCCCUGCAAAAUGUUAUGCUUUUACUCUACAAUAUA